GUGCUCCUUGGACCACCCACAUCUUUUGGCUUCCAUCUCCUGCUGGGCAGGUGAAUCCCCUGAGGGAACAGGUCAGCUGUCUUCUUUCUACACCACUUUCAUCUCUUCCCCCACAAGACAACUUCCACCUCCUGCUGCCAGACCCCUCCAGGACAUCCAUCUCCAUUGCAAAGAAGAGGACCCUGCCUUUGGUUCAUAGACCUUCCCACUUGGGCUUCACCUGUCUUUUGGGGAGAACAGUGACUAGGAAAUGGGAAUUCAUUCUCCAGCUGUAAAGAUUCAGCUUCUGUCUCCAGCUGUGCCUUUUCCUGACUCAUCUUCAGCCUUUGGAGAGAUGAAGAGGUGUAAAGGGCCAAUCACAGCUUCCAAAUUGCCUAUUAUCAAUGGAUUCACACAUUUCUGACUGAUUGAGUUAAAAGGAUGAAGCUCUCCAAAUGCUUCUACCCUGAUUAUUGAUCUAUAUCACUUUCUCAAGGGUCCCUUUCAUCUCCAACACAUGGAUUACCUGAAAUUCUCCAUGGAUUUGGGUUCUAAGAAGGAAUUUGGUAAGAAAGAGAAAGGAUCAGUAAACUUUCUCUUUCCCAGUGU
rnacentral:lncRNA from 1 species